GUCCCUUUUGCCUUUGCUGAAAGGGGGAACGGUUUGAAUUGCCUCUCUGCUGCCCGGACUCGUUCCCGGUCUUAGCUCUCUUAUUUAUGAACUCUUCUCUGUCCCUCAGCUUCUCUUCCUCAACCUGUUGCACAUAAACCAUCAACCUUGAUAUGUCCAUGUCCCCGAUAAGCAUUGCAUCCCUACCUUCCUUGUUCAACAACCGAGACAGCCC
rnacentral:lncRNA from 1 species